UAUUUACUAAUACAAGCUUCUCAUAAAUUCACAUCUUUAGGUCUCCAUAAUGUAGCCUGGGUGAAUUAUAAUGUAGUCUGGGUGGAUUAUAAUGUAGUCUGGGUGGAUUAUAAUGUAGCCUGGGUGAAUUAUAAUGUAGUCUGGGUGGAUUAUAAUGUAGCCUGGGUGAAUUAUAAUGUAGUCUGGGGGGAUUAUAAUGUAGCCUGGGUGGAUUAUAAUGUAGCCUGGGUGGAUUAUAAUGUAGCCUGGGUGGAUUAUAAUGUAG
rnacentral:lncRNA from 13 species